AGAGUUUGAUCCUGGCUCAGAGUGAACGCUGGCGGUAGGCCUAACACAUGCAAGUCGAACGGCAGCACAGUAAGAGCUUGCUCUUACGGGUGGCGAGUGGCGGACGGGUGAGGAAUACAUCGGAAUCUACUCUUUCGUGGGGGAUAACGUAGGGAAACUUACGCUAAUACCGCAUACGCCCUUCGGGGGAAAGCAGGGGAUCGCAAGACCUUGCGCGAUUGAAUGAGCCGAUGUCGGAUUAGCUAGUUGGCGGGGUAACGGCCCACCAAGGCGACGAUCCGUAGCUGGUCUGAGAGGAUGAUCAGCCACACUGGAACUGAGACACGGUCCAGACUCCUACGGGAGGCAGCAGUGGGGAAUAUUGGACAAUGGGCGCAAGCCUGAUCCAGCCAUACCGCGUGGGUGAAGAAGGCCUUCGGGUUGUAAAGCCCUUUUGUUGGGAAAGAAAAGCAUUCGGUUAAUACCCGAGUGUUCUGACGGUACCCAAAGAAUAAGCACCGGCUAACUUCGUGCCAGCCGCCGCGGUAAUUC
rnacentral:rRNA from 1 species